GCCGAGGUGGCUUAGCUGGUUAUAGCGCCCGGCUCAUACACGGCUGGGUCCUGGGAAACCGGGAGGUCGAGGGUUCGAAUCCCUCCCUCGGCACCA
rnacentral:tRNA from 1 species